rnacentral:rRNA from 1 species
AUUGAACGCUGGCGGCAGGCCUAACACAUGCAAGUCGAGCGAGCGGCGGACGGGUGAGUAAUGUCUGGGAAACUGCCCGAUGGAGGGGGAUAACUACUGGAAACGGUAGCUAAUACCGCAUACCAUCGGAUGUGCCCAGAUGGGAUUAGCUAGUAGGUGGGGUAACGGCUCACCUAGGCGACGAUCCCUAGCUGGUCUGAGAGGAGGAACAGCCACACUGGAACUGAGACAGGGUCCAGACUCCAACGAGAGGCAGCAGUGGGGAAUAUUGCACAAUGGGAGCAAGCCUGAUGAAGCCAUGCAGCGUGUAUGAAGAAGGCCUUCGGGUUGUAAAGGACUUUCAGCGAGGAGGCGUUACUCGCAGAAGAAGCACCGGCUAAAUCCGUGCCAGCAGCCGCGGUAAUAC